rnacentral:rRNA from 1 species
AGCAAUACACGAGUGGCGCACGGGUGAGUAACACGUGGAUAUCUGCCUUUUGGUUCGGAAUAACCCUGGGAAACUAGGGCUAAUACCGAAUGGUUCCUACGGGAUAAAGAUUUAUCGCCAAAAGAUGAGUCCGCGUCCGAUUAGCUAGUUGGUGAGGUAAUGGCUCACCAAGGCGACGAUCGGUAGCUGGUCUGAGAGGACGAUCAGCCACACUGGGACUGAGACACGGCCCAGACUCCUACGGGAGGCAGCAGUGGGGAAUAUUGGACAAUGGGGGCAACCCUGAUCCAGCCAUGCCGCGUGAGUGAUGAAGGCCUUCGGGUUGUAAAGCUCUUUUGGCGGGGACGAUGAUGACGGUACCCGCAGAAUAAGCCCCGGCUAACUUCGUGCCAGCAGCCGCGGUAAGACGAAGGGGGCUAGCGUUGUUCGGAAUUACUGGGCGUAAAGCGAGUGUAGGCGGUUAUCCAAGUCAGGUGUGAAAGCCUUGAGCUCAACUCAAGAAAUGCACUUGAUACUGGGUGACUAGAGGACCGGAGAGGAUAGUGGAAUUCCCAGUGUAGUGGUGAAAUACGUAGAGAUUGGGAAGAACACCAGUGGCGAAGGCGGCUAUCUGGACGGUUACUGACG